UGAGGGAUAUUGCACAAUGGAGGGAACUCUGAUGCAGCAAUGCCGCGUGAGUGAAGGAGGCCCUAUGGGUUGUAAAGCUCUGUGGAAGGGGAAAAUAAUGAUGGUACCCAUUUAGAAAGCACCGGCUAACUACGUGCCAGCAGCCGCGGUAAUACGUAGGGUGCAAGCGUUGUUCGGAAUUACUGGGCGUAAGGGGGGAGUAGGCGGAAAGAAAAGUCAGAGGUGAAAGCCCGGUGCUAAACGCAGGAAGAGCAUUUGAAACUAGCUAACUAGAGUGUAUUAUGGGAGCGUGGAAUUCCGAGUGUAGCGGUGAAAUGCGUAGAUAUUAGGAGGAAGACUCGUGGCGAAGGCGACGCUCUGGGGUAACACUGACGCUGAGGACCGAAAGCAUGGGGAGCAAACA
rnacentral:rRNA from 1 species